rnacentral:rRNA from 1 species
GUGCCAGCAGCCGCGGUAAGACGAGGGAUCCUAGCGUUGUUCGGAAUCAUUGGGCGUAAAGCGGAUGUAGGUGGCUUUGUAAGUCAGGUGUGAAAGCCCCGGGCUCAACCCGGGAAGUGCAUUUGAUACUGCGAAGCUUGAGUGCUGGAGAGGUAAGUAGAAUUCCUGGUGUAGUGGUGAAAUACGUAGAUAUCAGGAGGAAUACCGGAGGCGAAGGCGGCUUACCAGCCAGACACUGACACUCAGAUCCGAAAGUGUGGGGAUCAAACAGGAUUAGAUACCCUGGUAGUCC